rnacentral:rRNA from 1 species
UACGUAGGGGGCGAGCGUUGUCCGGAGUUACUGGGCGUAAAGCGCACGCAGGCGGUCGUGCAAGUUUGGGGUUACAGCUCCCGGCUCAACUGGGAGAGCGCCUUGAAGACUGCAGGACUUGAGGACCAGAGAGGGACACAGAAUUCCGGGUGUAGUGGUGAAAUGCGUAGAUAUCCGGAGGAAUACCAAAGGCGAAGGCAGUGUCCUGGCUGGUGACUGACGCUGAGGUGCGAAAGCUAGGGGAGCGAACGGG